rnacentral:pre_miRNA from 1 species
CUUGGGAGGAGAGGGUGCCCCCUCAGCCCAGAUUGUGAGAGGACACAGGCCAAGCUGAGGGAUCCCACCAGUGCACA